UACGAAGGGGGCUAGCGUUGUUCGGAAUUACUGGGCGUAAAGCGUUUGUAGGCGGUUAUACAAGUCAGAUGUGAAAUCCUGGGGCUCAACCUCAGAAUUGCAUUUGAAACUGUAUAGCUAGAGAAUGUUAGAGGAAAGUGGAAUUCCUAGUGUAGGAGUGAAAUCCGUAGAGAUUAGGAGGAAUAUCGAUGGCGAAGGCAGCUUUCUGGGACAUUUCUGACGCUGAGAAACGAAAGCGUGGGUAGCAAACAGG
rnacentral:rRNA from 1 species